rnacentral:rRNA from 1 species
UACGUAGGGGGCAAGCGUUGUCCGGAUUUAUUGGGCGUAAAGAGCGUGUAGGCGGUUAUGCAGGUCCGCUGUGAAAACUGGAGGCUUAACCUCCAGACGUCGGUGGAAACCGUAUGACUAGAGUCCGGAAGAGGAGAGUGGAAUUCCUGGUGUAGCGGUGAAAUGCGCAGAUAUCAGGAAGAACACCAACGGCGAAGGCAGCUCGCUGGGACGGAACUGACGCUGAGGCGCGAAAGCGUGGGGAGCGAACAGG